UAACGAUCGACUGCCCUGCAUGAAGAAGAAGAAUUAAGAAGAUGCUGCCCUAUUUUAGGAUGAGCAAUAUAUUCUACCAUAUAAAUUAAAUAUAUAUAUUUUCUUUCUUUCUUUUCUUUUCUUGAAGGGAAACAAUAUCCAUAUAUUUGCAGGAGUAAUUAAAUACAUACAAUAUAUAUAGUCGUUUCCCUUCAUUCCUUCUUCUUCUUCUUCUCUUGUAGUGGAGUAUAAAGUGUACUUUGAUUAUACAGCUCUUUCUUCUCUGUAUUUAUUGCAUGAUUGGGACCAACUUGGACGGUACUCCAGGUAGCUCCACUAUAUACUGUCAGAACUGUAAUAUAAUAUGGACGUCGAGGCAGAAUUAAUUAAGCUGCAGAAGUUGGUUUC
rnacentral:sRNA from 1 species